ensembl:lncRNA
UUUCAUGUUUAGAUACAUGUAGUAUAUGAUAAGAUGUUUAAUGUUUAGAUACAUGUAAUAGAUGAUGAUAAGAUGUUUAAUGUUUAGAUACAUGAUGAUAAGAUGUUUAAUGUUUAGAUACAUGAUGAUAAGAUGUUUAAUGUUUAGAUACAUCUAGUAUAUGAUAAGAUGUUUCAUGUUUAGAUAUAUGUAGUAUAUGAUAAGAUGUUUCAUGUUUAGAUACAUGUAGUAUAUGAUGAUAAGAUGUUUCAUGUUUAGAUACAUGUAGUAUAUGAUGAUAAGAUGUUUCAUGUUUAGAUACAUGUAGUAUAUGAUGAUAAGAUGUUUCAUGUUUAGAUA